GGAUUGUGGCUCAGUGGUAGAGCUCUUACCUGGCAUGUGGGAGGCCCUGGGUUGGAUCCUCACCACCA
rnacentral:tRNA from 1 species